CCUACGGGGGGCAGCAGUGGGGAAUAUUGCACAAUGGGGGAAACCCUGAUGCAGCGACGUCGCGUGAGUGAUGAAGGAUUUCGGUAUGUAAAGCUCUAUCAGCAGGGAAGAAAAUGACGGUACCUGACUAAGAAGCCCCGGCUAACUACGUGCCAGCAGCCGCGGUAAGACGUAGGGGGCAAGCGUUAUCCGGAUUUACUGGGUGUAAAGGGAGCGUAGACGGCGGUGCAAGCCAGAUGUGAAAGCCCGGGGCUCAACCCCGGGACUGCAUUUGGAACUGUGCUGCUAGAGUGUCGGAGAGGCAGGCGUACUUCCUCUUGUAGCGGUGAAAUUCGUAGAUCUUAGGCGGCACACCAGUGGCGAUGGCGGCCUGCUGGACGAUGACUGACGUUGAGGCUCGACAGCGUGGGGAGCAAACAGGGUUAGAUACCCCUGUAGUC
rnacentral:rRNA from 1 species